rnacentral:pre_miRNA from 1 species
GGUUUGUGCGUGGAUCUGAGGCCAUCACAACCGUCCACUACACGACCACCCAAUGGCUUUAGAUUCACGCACAAACUCG